AGCUUUUAAUGACUUUUUCAUUCUCUGUUUAGCUGUGUAUUUCUUCAAACCCUGAAAUCCUCUGCACAAGUGAGUUCAGCCCUUCAGAGUCACUGUGCACUUUCAGAAGCCACGGAAACCACUAGUGAAAGCAACCAUGAGGAUCCAGUAGCAGUUCACUCUAAGGUGGUUGACUUGGGUCAGAGUGAAGCUCAGUGGUUUCAAGAGGCCAGGAGUCUGAGUGAGCAGCUGAGAGACACCUACACCAAAGCCACUUUCCGCCACUUGAACCUGCCAGAGGUGUGUUCCAGCCUCAGCA